CGUUGUAACACCGGUUCAUGUACGAUCACCGAAGUUAAGCAACGUCGAGCCUGGUCAGUAUCUAAAUGGGUGGCCGCUUGGGGAUACCAGGUUUUGUAAG